rnacentral:lncRNA from 1 species
GCACACCGACUAUUGCGAAAUCUUUCAGUGUUAAGAACACUUGUUUAUUUGUUGUGUAACUUUGAGAUCUUAAGUGCGGCUAUAUGGCGACAUGCAGAUGUACCAGUGCGGCUCCGCACUCAGCGCCCAUUCUUGUCUGGUCCGAUCGUGGGGAGUAUGAUUCCAAAGCCUCCUCCAUCCAAAUGGGACGACGCUGAGAAAUGGAUCGUAAGCCCUGGUCGCAGCGAGAACCCGGCGAAGCCUCACUACCGGUCGUUGCAAAGCCUUUUGACAAGUAAGCAUAGUCUCUUAGAGGAUGGUCUGGUGACAUGCUUCACAAGCAUAUCUAACAGUAAGAUAUGAUAAUGAAUGAAAUGCAAAUAGAAAAUGAAAUCAAGAAAUGUACCUCCUUUGUGCCUUCGCAUGUGAAGAUUUAUGUUAUGUUGUUGACAGUCGUAUUUUGAUUGUAGCAGGCAGAAGACAUUCAAUUACAAUCGGGCAGAGUUUACGCUCAAAGCAUGGAACGGGUAGUCCCGACUCUGCAGGCCCUACA